GAAAAUUGAGAAUAAAUGUCUGAAAUUAACAAAAGAUUGGAAAUACACUGCAAAUUCUAAUGCAUCUGCAUUAUCAACAAAGCCAUUACAAUAAUGGUUACAACAAAUUGUAUCACUGACAAAUUGGGAUCUCAAUCACAAAUUAAGUAUAAAAGACCAUUUUUAGGAAAUAACAAUGAUAUUGAAGGUUUUGUUACGACUAGCCUCAAAAAACAAACAAAAUC
rnacentral:lncRNA from 1 species